ensembl:lncRNA
CAGAUCCCUCCUGCUGGGACUAAAGGAAGGUGUGCCCCACCGCCUACAACCUUCCUGCCGCUCUGUCUUGGACAAGAGUUGAUGUCAGGACAGCUCAGGAUCCCGUGCAGCAAUCUGCAUGCUGUUUACUCUCGAGAGUGAUCCACACAGUUGAUCCAGCUUGUUACUUUCUUUCGAGCGUGUGACAUGUUGACAGCCACACUCUAACCAAAGAAGAUCAACUUGGGACCGGAAUCGUCAGUUCACACCUCCCCUUUGCAAUGAGCUUUGAUGAACAUCAUGAUAAAAUCAGACUAUUGCUCUGAAUGUUGGCAGACAGACACCUUCCUCCUCCUGCCUGUUGAGUGCUGGGAGUGCAGCAUGCAGGCUUAAGAGCAGCUUUCUCAAUGAAAAGAUUUUAUGAAUCACUGACAAAUUUGAUCCCUAAAUAAAUUGCCG